GGCGUUGUAGAUCUUCAGGGCUGGUCCCAACUUGAUGCUCAUGAUCUUCACUAUAUCCAUUUGAGUCAGCAGGAGAAAAGCCUCUCCGUCUAUCAUCUGCAGAGGAAGGUAGCGUUUCUGGCUGGAUUGUGCAGGGAAAGCAGACUGACCUGUUGUGGAAGCUGUAUUUGGAGUUGCUGCGGGAAUUCGGGCCGCUUUUACACGGCGUUGAGGUGAAACUGGGCGGAGCUGCAGCUGCGGUUUCCCUCGGACCUAAAAGAAGACGCGUGAAGUUAAACUCCACGUUCAGCAUGCAUGCGGCGGGACGCUGGGCGGGAUCGAGGGAGGAGGUUUUAGAGGAUGACCCGUGCUCUCACACCAUCCUACAGGGUGAAUAUCAGGAUGAUCCGAGUCCACCCACUCGUCAUACACAUGACUCCAACCGUCAAAAUGGAUCUGAUGGUUAAAAACACAGUUUUCCAACCACAUCCUGAAACAGUCUGUACCUCCUGGAAGAGUUUGGCCGGAGCUGCAACGGCCUUCUGCUCGUCCAGAUACUGCGCCCACGACCACGACUCGGCUUUAGCGUCUGUUCCUGCGCAGAUAAACACACUCCUGAGAUCAUCACGUACCGCAGAACCGAACAGCAACUGGCUCACAUGAACCGAGUUCUCCUGGACCUCUGAGUUAACUUUAAUGAGCCGACCGCCAUCGACACACGCGGCCUGGACAUCUAGAGACGCAACACACACUUCUGAUCAGUAUGGAGAGAGGACGUGACAAACACCAACACGUCGUUAUGGAUAAACAGAAUUUACUGACUGAUGUUUGGCUGCUGCUUAAUUCCAACGUCUUUAUUCUGGAUAAAUAAAACGCAGCUAAAUUAAUCCGUUCCACAACAUUAAACUUAACUAUUAACUAUGGACAAGCAUACAUCUGUAUUUAUUUAUAAAAUCUUUUUUUUUUGUUUGUUCGUUUUUUUGUUGUUUUUUUUUGUCUUUUUUGCUCCAGAAUAUUACACUCCUCCCACAAAAAUCCAUGAUGUAGUCUGUUAAUGCAGAACACAUUUUUAUUUUACACAGCAUCUGUACUCUCUAGGGCAUUUCAGAGAUCAAAUUGACGUAAUCUGGCUUUUUUUUUUUUGUCCCAUUUGAGUUACAUUUUAGUGUAGGUUCUGAUUUUAAUCCCUCAGACCUGGAGAAUAACCUGGUUAUAAGAACGCACCCUCCUAUAACUAUAUCCCGUAACUAACACAGCUACUGCAAUAACACUAACAAAUCGGGGAAAAUAUAUAAUAUGUACAUUUUAAAAAAAAAAAUGUAGAACCUUCUAGAGGGCAAACAGAAUGUUUUAUAAUCCGGAGAAUAUAGUCAAUGGAGUAUGAGAGUUAAAUAAAAAUGAAAGUGUUAUGAAGAAGAAUGUUACGUGAACGAAACAGGAACAGCAGAGGACCGUAAAUUCGUAUGCAAAUGAAAACCGUUUCGUACUCGUAUCCAGAAAACACGCAAACAUGAUUCAUACCGACUGGUCCGUUACGUCGCCAUUAAACACUUUUUUUUCUUUAACUACCGUAACUCCUGGAGUAGCAGAGCUGCCGUAAUAACACUAACUAUCUGCCAUGUUAUAUAACAGUUGCUUUGGGUUAAUAUACAGUGAGGUCCAAAUAUUUAAUAUUUAAUUAAAUAUUUAAUUUGAUGAUAUUAUCAGCAACUACUAGAGUGAAAAGCAGAAUCUUAGAAAUAUUUACAUGAAUUUCAGAGUUUCUUAGUAUUUGUAUUUGCUUUAAUGACAGCGUGCACUCAAACUGGCACAGACUCCACAAGUUUGUGUAAAACCUGAUGAGCCAUUUUAGAUCAGAUCCAUCAGAGUGUUGUCUGAUCACACGCUUCAGUAGAAGAGAUUAGAUGUGAGGAAACUCUGACCUUCUCUACAAAGCAGUUAACCUGCUCAAUAUCACAUUUAAAUACCUAGAAAUGCCGCAGAAUCUUCAAUAUUCGAGAUGUUGCACAUUUCUUUUGUUUGUUUUACAAGUUUUAACAUUCUAAAACUUUGUUUAUUUACAACUUUAAAUAAAAUAAAAUCCCAGAUUUUCAAUGUAGAAUCAGACUUUUGGACCCCACUGUAUGUGCUCUCUGCAUUUUAGUUUGCUAUGUUUUACCUCCGUUAUAUAAACAUGUAAUUUUCUUAGUUUUAUUAUUGGUUUUUAUUCCUUUUCCUUUAUUUAAAAUUUUAUUAGUCAUUGUUAUUACAUGAUUUUAUGUAUGUAGCUAUACAGUGUCAUUGAGUACUACUACGACUAUUAAUAAUAAUAAUAAUAAUAAUAAGAGUUAUGUUGCUGUACAAGUUACAGAACUGUUAAAAAGUCAUAUAGUCUAGAAAUUACGGUAAUAAGCAAAUGGUUCCUGAGAGAGACUGAUGUCCGCCCUGAGCAUCAACGUCUCAUCCACUUGCUAAUUACCGUAAAAUUUCCAGUAGUGCCGUAAACCUCAGACGUCCAUGCGAUAUGAUACAAUACAAUUUCGAUUCAUAAGGUAACGACUUGAUAUUUAACGAUACCAGCAAAUCUGCUACGAUUCUAUACGAAAUCAUAUUUGUAUAAAAUUUGAUCUGAUUCCCAAAUGUGCAUGUAGUCGAGUACCAAUGUAUUGAUCGCGUUUUUCCAUUUUCAGUACCGAUAUCAGAGACUUUAAGCUCACCUAAUACUGAUUAAUACUUUAAAACGUGAUGCGGUUUGAUCGAAUUUUAUAUCCUCUGAGCGACAUGUGGUCAAAUAUGUUCAGAAUCUGAGGAACACCUUCCGUUAAUUCGCAAAUGAUGAUGAUGUAGAGAAAGACUAUUUUAAAAGUAUCAACCAAAUCAUCUUGCUAACAUGUUAAUUAAUUACACAUCAGUUUAAAAAUAUAUUUUUUUCUGUAUAUAAUCAAUUAUGAUCUGUAAUAAUCCAUUGAGGAUUGUUGCAUCAAUUCAUUUCGAAUCGAAGAAUCAAUCAAAAUCGUCAGAUCGUUACACCGCUAAUUUCCAGACUACAGAACAUUCUAGCAUGAAGAACCGAGAAGACUCGGAUAAAUCUAGUUAGGACGAGAACGUUCUCCGUGAGAAGAUGUGUCAUGGCAUCAAGUUUAUCAGAGGAACACUGCAGACCUGCUGA